GUCAGUAAUAGGAACAGAGAGAGAGAGAGCCAUCUUGUGGAAGAUCACUUUACUAUCGUGCAGAUUUGGGUGCCAGACACUUCAGAAGCUAAUUCAGGAGACCUUAUUUUUGCAACGAGAGACCUCAAUUACAAGUUCCAGCCUGAGAUGUGCAAAAUGCUUGUAAUGAAGCUGCAAACCAUGUGAAAGCAGUGACAAGAUCCUUUGUGUAGCAGAGAGGGGCUCCCGCUUCAAGCAGAAGAAAGAGAGCAGAGGGCAUCUUUCUGAUAAGAGCUGAUGAUGUGGGUCUAGGAAGGUCUGAGCUCUUGAUAAAGUGAAAAUGAAAGUGAUGCCUGAUGUUCCAGCUUCCCCUCCUGAGUUAAGGGGAUGAGCUACACUUUUCAACCCCUGUAUGAGGUGGAUUUAGGAAGAGAAUCAAACAAUUAUCUGAGGUAUGUUCAAGGAUGACAAGCUCUGAAAUCAGGACACAUCCAGAGCUUCAGGCUGAAUGAAACACAGUAGGAUGGAUUAAGAAAUAUCAAAUGCUGUAAG